GACAGAGGGGGCAAGCGUUGUUCGGAUUCAUUGGGCGUAAAGGGUGCGUAGGUGGCGCGCUAAGUCAGGUGUGAAAUUUCGGAGCUUAACUCCGAAACUGCAUUUGAUACUGGCGUGCUUGAGGACUGGAGAGGAGACUGGAAUUCACGGUGUAGCAGUGAAAUGCGUAGAGAUCGUGAGGAAGACCAGUGGCGAAGGCGGGUCUCUGGACAGUUCCUGACACUGAGGCACGAAGGCCAGGGGAGCAAACGGG
rnacentral:rRNA from 1 species